rnacentral:rRNA from 1 species
UACGAAGGGGGCUAGCGUUGCUCGGAAUCACUGGGCGUAAAGCGCACGUAGGCGGAUUGCUAAGUCAGGGGUGAAAUCCUGGAGCUCAACUCCAGAACUGCCUUUGAUACUGGCGACCUUGAGUCCGGGAGAGGUGAGUGGAACUGCGAGUGUAGAGGUGAAAUUCGUAGAUAUUCGCAAGAACACCAGUGGCGAAGGCGGCUCACUGGCCCGGUACGUGACGCUGAGGCACGAAAGCGUGGGGAGCAAACAGG